rnacentral:rRNA from 1 species
CAAGCGGUCGAGCAUGUGGUUUAUUCGAUGCAACGCGAAGAACCUUACCUGGUCUUGACAUCCACAGAACUUUCCAGAGAUGGAUUGGUGCCUUCGGGAACUGUGAGACAGGUGCUGCAUGGCUGUCGUCAGCUCGUGUUGUGAAAUGUUGGGUUAAGUCCCGCAACGAGCGCAACCCUUAUCCUUUGUUGCCAGCGGUUCGGCCGGGAACUCAAAGGAGACUGCCAGUGAUAAACUGGAGGAAGGUGGGGAUGACGUCAAGUCAUCAUGGCCCUUACGACCAGGGCUACACACGUGCUACAAUGGCAUAUACAAAGAGAAGCGACCUCGCGAGAGCAAGCGGACCUCAUAAAGUAUGUCGUAGUCCGGAUUGGAGUCUGCAACUCGACUCCAUGAAGUCGGAAUCGCUAGUAAUCGUAGAUCAGAAUGCUACGGUGAAUACGUUCCCGGGCCUUGUACACACCGCCCGUCACACCAUGGGAGUGGG